rnacentral:rRNA from 1 species
AGGAGAAAGCUUGCUUUCUUGCUGACGAGUGGCGGACGGGUGAGUAAUGCUUGGGAAUCUGGCUUAUGGAGGGGGAUAACGACGGGAAACUGUCGCUAAUACCGCGUAUUAUCGGAAGAUGAAAGUGCGGGACUGAGAGGCCGCAUGCCAUAGGAUGAGCCCAAGUGGGAUUAGGUAGUUGGUGGGGUAAAUGCCUACCAAGCCUGCGAUCUCUAGCUGGUCUGAGAGGAUGACCAGCCACACUGGAACUGAGACACGGUCCAGACUCCUACGGGAGGCAGCAGUGGGGAAUAUUGCGCAAUGGGGGGAACCCUGACGCAGCCAUGCCGCGUGAAUGAAGAAGGCCUUCGGGUUGUAAAGUUCUUUCGGUAUUGAGGAAGGUUGAUGUGUUAAUAGCACAUCAAAUUGACGUUAAAUACAGAAGAAGCACCGGCUAACUCCGUGCCAGCAGCCGCGGUAAUACGGAGGGUGCGAGCGUUAAUCGGAAUAACUGGGCGUAAAGGGCACGCAGGCGGUUAUUUAAGUGAGGUGUGAACAGCCCUGGGCUUAACCUAGGAAUUGCAUUUCAGACUGGGUAACUAGAGUACUUUAGGGAGGGGUAGAAUUCCACGUGUAGCGGUGAAAUGCGUAGAGAUGUGGAGGAAUACCGAAGGCGAAGGCAGCCCCUUGGGAAUGUACUGACGCUCAUGUGCGAAAGCGUGGGGAGCAAACAGGAUUAGAUACCCUGGUAGUCCACGCUGUAAACGCUGUCGAUUUGGGGGUUGGGGUUUAACUCUGGCGCCCGUA